CCUUACCAGCUGGUGUUACAAGCCACUAAGCCUUACCAGCUGGUGUUACAAGCCACUAAGCCUUACCUGCUGGUGUUACAAGCCACUAAGCCUUACCAGCUGGUGUUACAAGCCACUAAGCCUUACCUGCUGGUGUUACAAGCCACUAAGCCUUACCUGCUGGUGUUACAAGCCACUAAGCCUUACCUGCUGGUGUUACAAGCCACUAAGCCUUACCUGCUGGUGUUACAAGCCACUAAGCCUUACCAGCUGGUGUUACAAGCCACUAAGCCUUACCAGCUGGUGUUACAAGCCACUAAGCCUUACCUGCUGGUGUUACAAGCCACUAAGCCUUACCUGCUGGUGUUACAAGCCACUAAGCCUUACCUGCUGGUGUUACAAGCCACUAAGCCUUACCUGCUGGUGUUACAAGCCACUAAGCCUUACCUGCUGGUGUUACAAGCCACUAAGCCUUACCUGCUGGUGUUACAAGCCACUAAGCCUUACCUGCUGGUGUUACAAGCCACUAAGCCUUACUUGCUGGUGUUACAAGCCACUAAGCCUUACCUGCUGGUGUUACAAGCCACUAAGCCUUACCUGCUGGUGUUACAAGCCACUAAGCCUUACCUGCUGGUGUUACAAGCCACUAAGCCUUACCUGCUGGUGUUACAAGCCACUAAGCCUUACCUGCUGGUUUUACAAGCCACUAAGCCUUACCUGCUGGUGUUACAAGCCACUAAGCCUUACCUGCUGGUGUUACAAGCCACUAAGCCUUACCUGCUGGUGUUACAAGCCACUAAGCCUUACCUGCUGGUGUUACAAGCCACUAAGCCUUACCUGCUGGUUUUACAAGCCACUAAGCCUUACCUGCUGGUGUUACAAGCCACUAAGCCUUACCUGCUGGUGUUACAAGCCACUAAGCCUUACCAGCUGGUGUUACAAGCCACUAAGCCUUACCAGCUGGUGUUACAAGCCACUAAGCCUUACCUGCUGGUGUUACAAGCCACUAAGCCUUACCUGCUGGUGUUACAAGCCACUAAGCCUUACCUGCUGGUGUUACAAGCCACUAAGCCUUACUUGCUGGUGUUACAAGCCACUAAGCCUUACCUGCUGGUGUUACAAGCCACUAAGCCUUACCUGCUGGUGUUACAAGCCACUAAGCCUUACCUGCUGGUGUUUUAUACUUGGCUUUUAUUUUUGUUGGAAAGUAAAAGAAGCAGAGUGGAACUUUGUUCAAUCAUAAUGCUUGUUUUCUGA
rnacentral:lncRNA from 1 species